GGACGGAUGGACAAAGUGGACAUUAUGCAAAUGAACUCAAACAACAUGUGAUCCACACUCCGCACCGGCUGGUGGCGAUGACGCGCCGAUUAUUGAUCAUCUACCGCCGACCAAGUUAAAACAAGACGAAGAAGAAGAAGAGGAGGAGGAGGAGGAGGAAAAAAACCAGGAAAAGAAAAACCAGGAAAAGAAAAACCAGGAAAAGAAAAAGCAGGAAAAGAAGGAGCGUCGCAGAAAGUCUCCAGAGUUUCACUUUAACGUCUUAAAGUGUUCAGAUCCUGUGAGUGUGUCCGUGAUACACAGUGUGUGUUCAGUGUGUGUUUGUGUGUUAACGCGCCGCGAACUGUUUGAACCUUUUUUACCGUUUAACCGCAAAUACGGAAACACGGAAAUAACGUUUGUUCGUUUUUCGUUUUAAACCGAAA
ensembl:lncRNA